rnacentral:rRNA from 1 species
AGUGAACGCUGGCGGUAGGCCUAACACAUGCAAGUCGAACGGCAGCACAGUAAGAGCUUGCUCUUCUGGGUGGCGAGUGGCGGACGGGUGAGGAAUACAUCGGAAUCUACUUUUUCGUGGGGGAUAACGUAGGGAAACUUACGCUAAUACCGCAUACGACCUACGGGUGAAAGCAGGGGAUCUUCGGACCCUGCGCGAUUGAAUGAGCCGAUGUCGGAUUAGCUAGUUGGCGGGGUAAAGGCCCACCAAGGCGACGAUCCGUAGCUGGUCUGAGAGGAUGAUCAGCCACACUGGAACUGAGACACGGUCCAGACUCCUACGGGAGGCAGCAGUGGGGAAUAUUGGACAAUGGGCGCAAGCCUGAUCCAGCCAUACCGCGUGGGUGAAGAAGGCCUUCGGGUUGUAAAGCCCUUUUGUUGGGAAAGAAAAGCAGCAGGUUAAUACCCCGCUGUUCUGACGGUACCCAAAGAAUAAGCACCGGCUAACUUCGUG